AGAAAUUCAGGGAAUUAAGGUGUUGUUGAUCCAGAAAUCAAAUGCAUGUGACCAAAUUCUCAACCAUCAAAGGGUUUCCUACAUAGGGAGUGAAAGAAGAAGGAGCUAAUUCCGGUUCGCAACAAAAGGCUCAAGAACGAGGUAAAUCUCAAGUUUAAAUGCUAUUGCAUCGCUCGGAACCGAACACACCUUGAACGCCUUUAUGCGCUUCCGCAAUCAUUGAUGUAUCAUCAAUGGGUCAAUAUUUUGGUUUAAUUAGGCUAUGUUGGUAGUUAUAAACUCUAAACUUGAAGUUGAAAAUCUUUUGUCAAACACUAGUUAUAAUGGUCGUUUUGAAAGUUUCUUAAGUGUUAUGAAAUUUACUAUGUC